rnacentral:rRNA from 1 species
UACGUAGGGGGCAAGCGUUAUCCGGAUUUACUGGGUGUAAAGGGAGCGUAGACGGCAUGGCAAGCCAGAUGUGAAAUACCGGGGCUCAACCCCGGGACUGCAUUUGGAACUGUUAAGCUGGAGUGUCGGAGAGGCAGGCGGAAUUCCUAGUGUAGCGGUGAAAUGCGUAGAUAUUAGGAGGAACACCAGUGGCGAAGGCGGCCUGCUGGACGAUGACUGACGUUGAGGCUCGAAAGCGUGGGGAGCAAACAGG